UUUCAACUUUUAUGACAUGAUCAUGAGACCCACUGCAGGGGAAAAAAAUUGACUUCAUCAAUUUUACCUUAAUCUUUUUCAUUCAAGUCAUUCUCUUUUAAAGUCCCUCACCUAAAAUUAUCAUCAUUGUCAAUUUUUCUUCUUUAUCUAUUAGGAGACCCAACUUUCAAACUCUCAAUCUCAGUUUUAGCAACUUUGCCAGGGGUUUGAAAUUUUUACCAACUUAAUUAAUCAUCAAAUCUCACAUCUUAAUGCAAGGUUGCAAUUUCACCUUCCAUCAAUCCACAUGGCAUCUGCACACUAUUGUGUGAAUGUCAACCAUAGACAGUGAAAGACUGAUUAAUGAAGACUGGAGAUAGAGACUGGUGAUAUAUCAGAGAGGGAAUGUUUGAAUGGGAACUACUGUUGUAAGAGGUUAAUUCAUACAUUACCAU
rnacentral:lncRNA from 1 species